GUCUACGGCCAUGCCACCCUGAACGUGCCCAAUCUCCUCUGAGCUCAGAAGCUAAGCAGGGCUGGGCCUGGUUAGUAUUUGGAUGGGAGACCACCUACGAAGACCAGGUGCUAUAGGCG
rnacentral:rRNA from 1 species